UACCUGCAGCUCAAGUGGUGACCGUUAUUAUUGGGCCUAAAACGUUCGUAGCCGGUUUAUUAAAUGCCUGGGUAAAUCGCGUAGCUUAACUAUACGAAUUCCGGGUAGACUGAUAGACUUGAGACUGGGAGAAGCUAGAGGUACUCCUGGGGUAGAGGUGAAAUUCUGUAAUCCUAGGGGGGCCACCGGUGGCGAAGGCGUCUAGCUAGAACGGGUCUGACGGUGAGGAACGAAGCCCUGGGGCGCAAACGGGAUUAGAUACCCCGGUAGUCCAGGGUGUAAACGCUGCUUGCUUGACGUUAGUUGGGCCCCGAGCCCAAUUAGUGUCGGAGCGAAGGUGUUAAGCAAGCUGCCUGGGAAGUACGAUCGCAAGAUUGAAACUUAAAGGAAUUGGCGGGGGAGCACAGCAACGGGUGGAGCGUGCGGUUU
rnacentral:rRNA from 1 species